rnacentral:rRNA from 1 species
CAAAAGAAGUAGGUAGCUUAACCUUCGGGAGGGCGCUUACCACUUUGUGAUUCAUGACUGGGGUGAAGUCGUAACAAGGUAACCGUAGGGGAACCUGCGGUUGGAUCACCUCCUUACCUAAAGA